AUCAUAAUAUUGGAUUUGUUUAUAGGGCCUAAGUAAUAGAAUUCUGUGAAUAUUGUAGUGAGUCACUUUGUUACAGUUCCUGUUUUAUGGAUAAUACUUACAUUGUCUUACGAUAAAAUGUAACCAUAUGAAGGUACAUAGAUAACCAAAUCGAACAUGGUGCCUGUUUCUUUGAUAUGCUGAAAGACACUUUGAUGCCUGAAUCUGUAUCCUGUCAGAUCAGGUUUUGAACUUCUCACGAUAAGAAAUUCGUAAACUCGGUUAUUAGAUGCUUUUCCCCUAUUUAUGUUUUGCAUUAUAACAAAUAUCUUAUUCUCUCCUUUUUAGAACAUGAAUCAGAUGUUCUCAUACUUACCUGGCCCCUAUUUCAAAAAAAAAACAUCCCUAGAGGCCUUGUUUAGUUCCGAGAAGUGAAAAGUUUUCAGUACUGUAGCAUUUUCGUUUGUUUGUGACAAAUAUUAUCCAAUCAUGGACUAACUAGGAUCAAAAGAUUCGUCUCGUGAUUUACAGCUAAAUUGUGUAAUUAGUUUUUGUUUUCGUCUAUAUUUAACAUUUCAUGCAUGUGCCACAAGAUUCGAUGUGACGGGGAAUCUUGAAAACUUUUUGGUUUUCAGGGUGAACUAAACAAGGCCAGAGUUUGUUACUUAUAAGGAUCCCAUCCUCUAUGAUUCAUGAGCCCUUUUUUGUUUGUUCAACUUAUUAGCAACGUGUCCUUUCAGUUCUCUGUCUAUAAUUGAAAUUUGAUCUAUUUUGGUUUACAAGUUACUUGAACUAAAUUUGGUUUGCAUUGCAUGCCAAACCUUGAGAAAUGACAUUUGUCAUGCAUGAGUGAAGUUUGGCAUUAUUGAUUAGAAGAAAAGCAUCUGGCUUCCAGCUUACAUUAAUGAGAUUCUUCAGUGCUUAUAUCAGAAAAGUAGGACAGCCUUCUUUCUCUGAUGUUGUUAGGAGGGAGCACAAGAAUAGGAGUUAUGGUGAUGAAUUACUGCCACGUUUGUGUGACUAGUAAGACGUGAUGGUGUAGACUGUUGCUCGAAGAUUGUGUGUUCCUCUCUUUUCCAUAGUUCCCAAGAAAUGAGUCGGCUCUGGUGAACUGGUGUGCGAAAAGCAUUACUUAGAAACUCUGGUAAAGUUAGGUGAGGCGGCCUGGCGCACUGCGGGCGGAAAACGUUUAAGCGAGAUCUUGCCCAUUAGCUGAUUUAGUUCUCCUUUGUGGUUUCUGAGAUGUCUUUCUGGUUGGCCAAACCCUCCUUGGAUAGGCUUCUUUUCUAAACUUAAGUACUUUAACUUAAAACAAU
rnacentral:lncRNA from 1 species